rnacentral:rRNA from 1 species
AGAUUGAACGCUGGCGGCAGGCCUAACACAUGCAAGUCGAGCGGUAGAGAGGUGCUUGCAUCUCUUGAGAGCGGCGGACGGGUGAGUAAUGCCUAGGAAUCUGCCUAGUGGUGGGGGAUAACGUUCGGAAACGGACGCUAAUACCGCAUACGUCCUACGGGAGAAAGCGGGGGACCUUCGGGCCUCGCGCCAUUAGAUGAGCCUAGGUCGGAUUAGCUAGUUGGUGAGGUAAUGGCUCACCAAGGCGACGAUCCGUAACUGGUCUGAGAGGAUGAUCAGUCACACUGGAACUGAGACACGGUCCAGACUCCGUACGGGAGGCAGCGAGGUGGGAAUAGUUAGGAACAAGUGGGACGAAAGCCUAGACUCCAGCCAUCGCCGCGUGUAGGUAGAAGUAACGGCCGUUAGGAUUAGUAAA